rnacentral:Y_RNA from 1 species
GGCUGGUCCACAGGCGGUGACUCACCUGUGCACAGUCAGGCCCACAUCCAGCCCCUGCCCUGCUCUUCCCUUUUCUCGCGACUGCACUUGACUUGUCUUAA